rnacentral:rRNA from 1 species
UUGAAAGGGAAACGAUUGAAGUCAGUCGUACCGACGAGAAAUCAGCUUUUCGAAUGUGCAUUUGUGGGCGUAUGAGAUCUUCAUUGUUUGCAAUAUGUAUGUUUCUUUGGUGUACUUUUUCGUAUGGUAGGUCAACGUCGGUUUUGAUCGCCAUAAAAUGAUCGGAGGAAUGUAGCUUCGCCCUCGGUUGAAGUGUUAUAGCCUUUGGUAAAUGUGGUGAUUAAGACCGAGGAUUGCAACGAAUACCUUUUAGGCUAUCCGUCUGACCUCUGAAAGUUACUUAGGUGUCGAAAGCUUGCUUACGGUCCGUUAAGGAUGUUGACGUAGGUUAGAACGUGAUUACAUUCGUUAAGGAUGUUGACGUA